CCGGGAAAAGGAAGGCCGUCUCUGAGGUGAUAGCGAAGAGGAAACAGGGAAAAGGAAGGCCGGUCCCUGUCGUCCCCGAUCUCUCCCUCUCGGUACUUAACCCCCCACCCACCUGUUAGACAAAGAGCAAGCGGAUCGAGAGGCUGCAAGCAAGCAAGCAAGGAAUCUUGCGGCCGGCCGGACGAUUUUGGUUUGCUUCCAAGGGAAAACCUUCGGCCCGCACGGCCGCGCCAUCUAAAAUUCCCAACCAGACCCCAGCGUCCCCUGCGAACGGCCGCACGCGACGCGAACCGCGAACCCGAGCAGAAGCCAGGCAGGCAGGGGCAACUGCAGGGCGGGCGCCAUCAAGCAGCAAGCAGCAAGCAUGCUGGAGCUCCUGCUGGUGGGGUGCAGCAGCGUGGUGCUCCUCCUCCACGGCGCCAGCCUCUUCCUCCGCGCGCUCUUCGCCCCGCGCCACGUCGCCGCCAGGCCCAUCAGCUUCCUAGGGUUCGUGGCCUGACCGACAGAUCGGGUGAGGUCCCGGUCGAUCGAGGUGCGGAGAUCGUCGCCGACGGAUUAAGGAGAUCGAUCGCUGGUGUGAAGUAGAGCCCCUCGACCGGCGUAGAUAGCUUUCCAGGUCGUGUUCCUGUGGAUUGUGAAAAACACGAGUACUCACUACGCGUGUAAAAUUGUCCAAGUUACACCACAUCAACGAACUGUGCUUCAAGUUUAUUAGUUCGUGCAUC